rnacentral:rRNA from 1 species
UACGGGGGGGGCAAGCGUUGUUCGGAAUUACUGGGCGUAAAGGGCUCGUAGGCGCCAACUAAGUCGGACGUGAAAUCCCUCGGCUUAACCGGGGAACUGCGUCUGAUACUGGUUGGCUUGAAUCCGGGAGAGGGAUGUGGAAUUCCAGGUGUAGCGGUGAAAUGCGUAGAUAUCUGGAGGAACACCGGUGGCGAAGGCGGCAUCCUGGACCGGUAUUGACGCUGAGGAGCGAAAGCCAGGGGAGCAAAGCGGG